GAGGGUAGACUACCCAGUGGUAGAGUGCAUGCUUAGCAUGCAUAAGGUCCUGGGUUCAAUCCCCAGUACCUCCA
rnacentral:tRNA from 1 species